UCUUUGUUAUUUAGAUAUUAGUCACAUUAUUCCUAUGGUUAGUGAAAGUUGAAAAUGUCCCCACUAAUUAUUAGUGACAUUUAACAAAAAUAAUUAUUCCCCUUGCAUCAUCAUAGCUGUGGUUCAGUUUAAAAUUCUAUUUUAGAAGUUUUCUACAAAAAAAAAAAAAAAAGAGCAGAGCAGCAGCUUCUUUUCUAUGAUCCAGACUACUUUGACCUUGUCAAACAGAGUGGGGAUUUACAUUUUCUAUGAUAAGUUAAGCAUAUAUCCCAUGAGCAGUAAUGUGGUGAGUCCUGUUUAACUGUAUUUUAUUAACUUCAAAGACCCAAAGCAUUUGUGUCUCUGAACCACCUCAUUGGUGCUCUUUUCUGAGUGUCAUGAGAGUUGAGUGCACUACCCUAUAUCAAUUCUCACUCCAUCUAAUGGACUAGUUGACAGACUCAAGAUGGAAACCUGGCUCUUGCCUAUAGAAGUGUCUAGAGUUACAGUCUUAUCAUGUCUUUGAACUUCAGACUUCUGUUUAUCAUUUAUAAAUAAUGAAGCUUCAUGCUUGCCAAAGUAAAAAUGCUCAGUAAUAUGAGUUUUUAUGCUUCAGCACACAUUGCCUUUUUAACCCAACAAAAUAUAUUGACAGAUUUAAGAGAAUGGUCAUUUAAAAGAAACAAACAUAUUUAUUCAUAACGUGCUUAUUACUGAACAGUCACUGAUCCUGGAGCCAUAAAAUCAAAGACAAAACAACAUCCCUGUUUUUGAAAAACAGAGAUCUAAUAUAGAUGGUAGUUGGGUAAACAGAUCACUAUAAUGCACUAACUCAUAAUAUAAAGGGAGAAAAAAAUCUAAAUUCACUUCUUAAGAGCAUGGCCCAGACUUUAAAGAGGAAAAAACAUUGCCUGUUUUGCUGAAGGAGAGUCAGUCUUACUAGUGACUGAAGCAAGGAUGUCUUAAGCAAAAAGAGCACUUUGUGCAAGCAGCUAGUAAAACAAAUUGUCUUGUAGAGGAACUGAAUUUCUUGAGGACAACACUCUCAGAGAUUGCAGAAACAUGGAUAGUAAUAGGAGAGGAAGUCCUCACCAUCCACGGCAGCCACAGAAAAAAAAAUCUGAAGGGCUUUGUAGGAGUAACUUCAGAUAUUCUGAGACAUACUGAUAGGCCUCUGCAGAGAGAUCACCUUUACCUUUUUUCUAAAUAGCCAUAGCAAAUGCAUGGUCCCUCUCCAGAGGGAAAACACUGGGCCUCUCUUCAUUAUAAAAUUCUUAGAGUUAAAGUUGCAUCAUAGGUUCUUUUAUUUAAGAUCUAUUCUGAGAACCCAGUUCCCUCUGUCCUGCAAAAGUCAGAUAAUGUCCAUAUAUCUGAACAUAUCUUCUCUGCCACAAUCAGUAUAGUUUUACUUGUGAAAUGUUGCUGUUUCUGUAAAAAUUUUAAAUUAAAAUAUGCAAUAUAUAUAUUUUUACAAUGUAAUAUGCAUGUGGAUAAUGAAUAUUCAUAUAUAUGCAUAUGUGAAUAUACAUUUCUUUCUACCUGCAACAAGGAUUAUGAAUAGUAUCCUUUUCUCUUCCCACUAUAAAUUCUCCAUAGAAAUAUUUAAAUAUAGAAUAUUGAAGAGUUGGGAUGAAAGCAAAAAGAUGUAAAUUUGAGUCCAUGCAACCAUAUUAAAAAAACACAAGUGUCUCAGCACUUGCCUGGUAUCCCAGCACUGGGUUACAGAGACAGGAGAAUUCCUGGGACUAAAUGGCCAGCCAAUCUAGAUGAAUCAGCAACUUCUGCUCAGUGAGAGAAUCUAUCUAAAAACAUUAGGAUGACAGUGGUUGAUGAAGACUCCUGACAUCAAAGGCUGGCUCCACAUGCAUAAGCACAUGUCUGAGCAUACACCGAUCCCCCACACCACCUCACAUCCAUGCAUACAAACACAUAAACUUAUAUAGCACAUUCUAAACAUACAAAUCCAUGAGUCAUAUAAAUAUUACAAAUAGUCUUAUAUUUAGCAGUAAAUGUUUCUCUCAGCCCUGCCUUGUUCUAUUUUUUCUUUGCCUCCCAACAAACAUGAUCUUAGAUAUUUUCCAUUAUGAUCAUUGCUAUUACUGAAAAAUUUCAUAGCCUUGCAGAACAGUGACUAUAAGAACAUUUUUUUAAUUACAUGGUAACUAGAUUUCAUACUUACAUUUUUACACCACUUUUGCCAUGAAUUAGUUUACUGUUUUAGCAAUCACAUGUCCUAAUUCUAGAAAAGUUCAUAGUUUGACCACCAAACUAGGAUACUAUAGCAACUUGAAUUUGAAUCUGUGACUCCCAGUUUCCAGAACUACAUACAUACAUUAGAAUUACAUUUGAGUUUAUUAAACACACACACACACACAUCCCUGAAGCUUCAUUCUAGUGUAGCAUAUAUCCACACAGAAGAGCUAAGAUGGAGAGAGGGAAGGGGCAAAAGAAUCUCUGCUUGAUAAUGUCAAUAUUAUACUUGAGUGAUGAUAAUAUUUUAAUUUUACCUUCAUCCUUCUCUUUAACUAAAUCAUAGUUGCUCCAUAUGUUUCAAUUGAGUGGGUGGGUGACUGGUGUAGGUCAUUCAGUAUAUAUUUAAACAUUUUUAAGUUGAUUACCAAAAGCAUGCAGGUAUUAGGAAACAAAACAAAGCAUUGAUAAGCUCUCUCUAUAAAAUCAGUUUGUUUUAAGCUUAAACAUUUUCCAAUACAAUUUUGAUUUUAAUAAACUCUUCUCUUUUAGUCAAUCCCUGCUAAUAAGAAGCAAAUGAAGUUGCUUGAAAACACACUCAGUAAGCAGUGUUUUUCCAUGGACCAGUGGAAGAGGGAAGAGAAAAUGAUUGUCCCGCGCUGUUAACUGAGUAGAGCUAAUGGCAUUCAGUCUUGUGAAAUGGAUAUUAAUGAUUCGACUGUGUUUAACUUGUCAAAAAUCAUUCAUCGUGAUGAAGGCAGUCAUUUUGAUUUCCCACAAAAAUAGUCUCCAAGGAUAUCAAGUAGAACUUUCAGAAUGAGCAGGAGAAGUUCUUUAUCCGGAAUCAAACUAAAUGCAAGGCCAAAGAGAUAUCUCACCUGGUAAAGGACUUGGAUGCCAGUGUGACUACUUGAAAAUGGCCAGUCGGUUUGUAAAGAUACAAGCUAUUGAGAGAGAUCUGUCUUCAGAGGAAUAUCCAUGUAAAUGUUGACUGUGCUCCAGAGGGAACAGAAGAGAGCCAUUGACACACUUGAGGCUAGUUUUCAGCCUUAUUGACUAUCAUGCUGGGCCUGUAACUAUUGUUCAUGCAAAUAGGGUUCUGUUUUUAGAAAGGGUGACUCAUUAUAAAAACAAUGUGACUUGUCUGUCCCCCAUGGCCUGAAAAUAAAUGUGGAGGGACAAUA